GGAAGUUACCAGGACAGGAUUGGCUACUGUAAUAAUUACUGUAAAUCCCCCCCUUGCAUGGGAGCAUGCUUUAUAAGGAGACUGUGGAUUAAAAGCUUUCAGUUCUGCUCCUGAAACUGUGUGUCGUCCAGUUAUUGGGAUUGCUGUGGGGAUAUUGCUGUUGUUUUACCUGCUGGAAACUUUGCCUAUGGAUUUAUUAUUUACUUGUUCCUGAGCCUCACUUGGAUUAUAAGCGGAGAUAACCUGGGGAAUAUUGCAUCUCCGCUACAUUGGUUGGCAGCGCUGGGAUCCAGACUCACAAGGGAACAAGUACUAAUGGAAUAGGGAUGGCCGAGGUGCAGUACCUCGGACAUAGAGUGGGGUGCGGCAAACAGAAGCCUGAACCAGCCAAAGUAGAAGCCGUGGCCCAGUGGCCCACCCCUAGGACUAAAACCCAGGUGUUAUUUUUUAAAGGAACCCUGGGUAUUACAGAAAGUUUGUCCCUAACUAUAGCGCCCUCGCCAAACCCCUCACUGACCUUACCCGGAAGAAUUUGCCCCGCCAGGUGACCUGGACCCCGGAGUGUGAACAGGCAUUCCAACAGCUGAAGAAUGCACUGAUAAAUGCUCCUGUCUUGGCAGCUCCCAAUCCAACUAAACGUUUUCUUGUUCACACAGACGCUUCUAUGUUUGGAUUGGGAGCAGUACUGAGCCAAGUCGGAGCCGAUGGCGGAGAACACCCUGUGGCUUACAUCAGUCGCAAGCUAUUACCCCGAGAAGUAAGCUACGCCGCCAUCGGUCAUUUUAUUCCCUCCAUACAUUUCCCGAACCCCUGGUCUGAUCUGGU